rnacentral:lncRNA from 10 species
AGUCCCUUUGAGAUCUCUGAGCGCACAAAGUCAGGCUGCUAUCACUCGGCUGGGGAGUCCGAACCCGGCUGGAUAAAAACUACUUGGUGCGGAACUCGCAUCUUUUCCGCCCACCGUGGGGGGGCCGCACCGGUCGGGUCCGGCCAGGAACCCGGGCGCGAGUUUGGGGGCGCAGCGGGGGCGGCGAGCGCGCGUCCCCCCGCCCGCUCAGGCAGCGUAGAGGUGCGAGCAGCUCAGCCAGCCUUGCAGAGGGAGCUCUCGGCAGCUCUGGGGUCCCUCUGCUCGCAGCCGCUGCAGCGCCGCCUGCGCCACUCGGCGGAGACGGAGACCAGCGGCGGCGACGCGCGGACUGGGAGCGACCGCCGAGCAGCCAAGCAGCUGGGAAGGCACGCAGGCCGGCAGGGGCUGGGCCGUGGGAGUGCUGGCCAACGUGCCAGGCAGGGAGGACCUGAAUUCCUGAAGGUGGUGGUGGCAGCUGUUAGGGUCCACAGGUUAAUGAUCUCCAACGUCACACAGAAGAGAAUGUGCUGAGGUGUGACCUCCCUCACCCUGCCUUGGCUGCGUGGGGCACCGUCUCUCCAGGACUCACCCUGCCCCCCAAUAGACUGAAGUCUGAAGAUCAGCCCAGUCUUCCUUCAGGCCUCAAUGCCCUCUCACUUCCCCAGCCCGAGGGACUCCUGGCUCUUCUCGGAGGCUGCUCUGUGGGGUCCCUCCCUUGGGCCUUUGCUAAUGCUGUGCCCUCUGCCUGUGCCAGAGGUGGGCCUGGGCCCGUUUCUCAGGGAGCUCCUGAACACCAAGAAAUUGAAUUGCUUUGUAAAUAAACAAAAAGUGCCAAACA